UCUUUUCCCCUAGAAUUCGAUAAUUGCAGACUGCCCUAAUUCUCUGCUUCGGUUCCUCAAAUUUCUUGCACUAGAUUCUCGCUCCAGUUCUCCUUGCUUUACUCUCUCUCGGUUGUGGUUAGCAAGUGUUGAAGCUAGCAAAAUUUCUUUCCCUCACUCUCACUUCUACUCUCAGUUUUGGGGUUGGAGAAAAGAUAGCUUAGCUCUCGGUUGUUCCUCUUUUGCUCUUAGCAAAUUGAUACC
rnacentral:lncRNA from 1 species